GAUGAAGAACGCAGCGAAAUGCGAUAAGUAAUGUGAAUUGCAGAAUUCAGUGAAUCAUCGAAUCUUUGAACGCACAUUGCGCCCGCCAGUAUUCUGGCGGGCAUGCCUGUUCGAGCGUCAUUACAACCCUCAGGCCCCCGGGCCUGGCGUUGGGGAUCGGCGGAGCCCCCCGUGGGCACACGCCGUCCCCCAAAUACAGUGGCGGUCCCGCCGCAGCUUCCAUCGCGUAGUAGCUAACACCUCGCGACUGGAGAGCGGCGCGGCCACGCCGUAAAACACCCAACUCUUCUGAAGUUGACCUCGAAUCAGGUAGGAAUACCCGGUGAACUUAAGCAUAUCAAUAAGCGGAGGA
rnacentral:misc_RNA from 1 species